AGACUGCACCCAGUAAUAACACGAAGUUCACCCAUAUUUCUUAUCAACGAGUAUAAAUGACUGAACUCGCUCAGAGGGGCCACUAUCUGUACUUCAGCUCAGCCAAGAUGUCUCCUUUCACCGUUCUGUGCCUCUUUGUCGUCGUCGUUGCCGCUAUGGCACAAGACACAACAACAGCCAAGGGUUUUCUCUGCAAUGAUGACCGCGACUGUGAUCGCCACUGUGCGGGAACACGUGGCUUCUGUAGCAAAGAGGACAACAUGUGCCACCACUGCGAGGCUUCCACGCCUUCUUCCUGCAACUCUGAACUGGACUGUCUGAGGAGUUGCCGUCACAACCACGAGCUGUUUGGUAUUUGUUACCACGGGAACUGCAGAUGUUCCCACUUCGGAUAAACAUGUAGAAGGACGGAAAUUGUGUGGGUGUCUCGUCAAUGUAACAGCAUUGUACAAACCUAAUCUAACUAAAUUGUUGUUUGAUAAUA